rnacentral:SRP_RNA from 1 species
CCGCACUAGAUGGGGACAUAGCGGAGCCUUGUAACUUGCAAACCGCUACAGCAAGAUUGAAUACCCUUUGGAGGCUGACUCGUUGUGGGGCCUGCCGUAAAUAAGUAGCGUUGAAGAAUUGGUCCUGCGCAAUAGCGCAUCAUGAACCGUGUCAGGUCCGGGAGGAAGCAGCACUAAGUGAUUCCCGCUGUGUGCCGCAGGGGUGCCGGUUUGGAGCCAACUGUUUAUGUACCGCCUAUGAUUGGCAGUCGAAUAAGGGGUGCGG